rnacentral:lncRNA from 1 species
AAUAAGGCUUUUAUAUUAGAGUAAAAAGCAUUUUAAUAUAGAUAGGGCAUGUUUGAUUCGCUUUUUUUUUUACUCUGAAAUCAGAAUCGGAAUGGAUGAAUCUGUUUGUGGGUGUUCGGUACGCGGGAGUCCAAUUCCGAUUCCGAUUCUCGAGUGGAAUGGAAAUCUCCCAUUCACCCUUUUUUUCAAUCCGGCCUAGGAGGCUGGAUUGAAAGUUGAAUCCGGACGGAAUGAAUAUUUAUUCGGAUUAAAUUUAUUUUUUCAACUUUUUUAAUUAAAAUAUGAGUUAAAAUUUAAAAAUUAAAUAUAUGUUUUUAAAUUUUAAUUUGAACCUUAAAUUAAAAAAUUAAAAUUUAAUCAAGUAUUUCGAAUAUAAUUUACGAAUUUGAAUUUAAAUUAAAUUUUAAUUUAUAUAAAGUUUUAUUUAAAUUUUAUUUCAAACUUAAAUUAAAUUUAUGGAUUCAAAUUAAAAUUUAAAUUAUAAUUUUAAAUUUGAAUUUGAAUAGAUCAAAAUUUAAUUUCAUAUUUUGAAUUAUCCAUUCAACUUCAAAAUUUAAUUUUUUAAAAAAAAAUAGAUUUAAAAUCUUGACAUUAUUUCCUAAUUUUGAUGUAAAUUUUUAAUAUUUAAUUUUUAAUUUGAAUUUAAAUUAAUAUAUUAUAAAGAUAAUGCUAGUAUAUUAAUUUGAUUACGUUUUUUAUAUCCAUUUGAACCAAACACCGACAAUGGGAAUGAUUUAUUCCGAUUCCGAUUCAGGUGAUGAACCAAACAGAAUUAGGUAAUGAGCCAUUCUGAUUUCAAUUCCAGCUUAUUUUGAUUCCGAUUCCGAUUCCGACUCCGACUUCGAACCAAACACGCCCAUAGAGUAAAAAGCUACAAAU